AACGCGAAGAACCUUACCUGGCCUUGACAUGCAAGUGGUAGAACCAUGAAAGUGGGACGACCCCGCAAGGGGAGCUUGCACAGGUGCUGCAUGGCUGUCGUCAGCUCGUGCCGUGAGGUGUUUGGUUAAGUCCAGCAACGAGCGCAACCCUUAUCAUUAGUUGCCAACGCGUCAAGGCGGGGACUCUAGUGAGACUGCCCGGGUUAACCGGGAGGAAGGUGAGGAUGACGUCAAGUCCGCAUGGCCUUUAUGUCUGGGGCUACACACGUGCUACAAUGGUCGGUACAGAAGGCAGCAAGACCGCAAGGUGGAGCAAAUCCGUAAAGCCGAUCACAGUUCAGAUUGUAGUCUGCAACUCGACUACAUGAAGUUGGAAUUGCUAGUAAUGACGUGUCAGCAACAACGUCGUGAAUACGUUCCCGGGCCUUGUACACACCGCUAGUC
rnacentral:rRNA from 1 species